AUUGAACGCUGGCGGCAGGCCUAACACAUGCAAGUCGAGCGGCUGCAGGGAGCUUGCUCCUGGAUUCAGCGGCGGACGGGUGAGUAAUGCCUAGGAAUCUGCCUGGUAGUGGGGGAUAACGUCCGGAAACGGGCGCUAAUACCGCACACGUCCUGAGGGAGAAAGUGGGGGAUCUUCGGACCUCACGCUAUCAGAUGAGCCUAGGUCGGAUUAGCUAGUUGGUGGGGUAAAGGCCUACCAAGGCGACGAUCCGUAACUGGUCUGAGAGGAUGAUCAGUCACACUGGAACUGAGACACGGUCCAGACUCCUACGGGAGGCAGCAGUGGGGAAUAUUGGACAAUGGGCGAAAGCCUGAUCCAGCCAUGCCGCGUGUGUGAAGAAGGUCUUCGGAUUGUAAAGCACUUUAGGUUGGGAGGAAGGGCAGUAAGUUAAUACCUUGCUGUUUUGACGGUACCGACAGAAUAAGCACCGGCUAACUUCGUG
rnacentral:rRNA from 1 species